GGCCGUACUUUCGGCGGGCGGAGCGCCACGACCGGUUCGUCGGCGGCGAGAAACUCCCGGGCAAGGUGACCUUCGUCUCGGCGCAGGAGCAUACAGGCCCGGUGAGCGUCGGCCCGUCGGUGGACCGAGGAAGACCGUCGCGGAGCGGCGUCGACCGUUCGUCGUGUGUUGGCGUUCGACUCGGGGGGACUGGUUCCAGUGCCCUCGGACCGCGCCGGCGCAGCGGCGGGCGCGCACGGCGUCGCGCCUGGGGUCGGUGGCGAAACGGCCGGCAACCUGUCCGACCCGUCUUGAAACACGGACCAAGGAGUCUAACAUGUGCGCGAGUCGUUGGGCGCUACGAAACCCGAAGGCGCAAUGAAAGUGAAGGCCCGGUCUCCGGCCGGCCUGGGUGGGAUCCCGGCGGUCUCGGCCGUCGGGCGCACCACCGGCCCGUCUCGUUCGUUACGUCGAGGAGGCGGAGCAAGAGCGUACACGUUGGGACCCGAAAGAUGGUGAACUAUGCCCGAGUAGGACGAAGCCAGAGGAAACUCUGGUGGAGGUCCGCAGCGAUUCUGACGUGCAAAUCGAUCGUCAAACUUGGGUAUAGGGGCGAAAGACUAAUCGAACCAUCUAGUAGCUGGUUCCUGUCGAAGUUUCCCUCAGGAUAGCUGGCGCUCGUCGUGAGCAGUUUUAUCCGGUAAAGCGAAUGACUGGAGGCCUUGGG
rnacentral:rRNA from 1 species